rnacentral:rRNA from 1 species
GAUGAACGCUGACAGAAUGCUUAACACAUGCAAGUCUACUUGAAUUUGGGUCUUUGACUUAGAUUUGGGUGGCGGACGGGUGAGUAACGCGUAAAGAACUUGCCUCACAGUUAGGGACAACAUUUGGAAACGAAUGCUAAUACCUGAUAUUAUGAUUAUACGGCAUCGUAUAAUUAUGAAAGCUAUAUGCGCUGUGAGAGAGCUUUGCGUCCCAUUAGCUAGUUGGAGAGGUAACGGCUCACCAAGGCGAUGAUGGGUAGCCGGCCUGAGAGGGUGAACGGCCACAAGGGGACUGAGACACGGCCCUUACUCCUACGGGAGGCAGCAGUGGGGAAUAUUGGACAAUGGACCAAAAGUCUGAUCCAGCAAUUCUGUGUGCACGAUGACGUUUUUCGGAAUGUAAAGUGCUUUCAGUUGGGAAGAAAAAAAUGACGGUACCAACAGAAGAA